AUUGAACGCUGGCGGCAUGCCUUACACAUGCAAGUCGAACGGCAGCACGGGAGUAAUCCUGGUGGCGAGUGGCGAACGGGUGAGUAAUAUAUCGGAACGUGCCCAGUCGUGGGGGAUAACGCAGCGAAAGCUGUGCUAAUACCGCAUACGAUCUAAGGAUGAAAGCGGGGGAUCGCAAGACCUCGCGCGAUGGGAGCGGCCGAUAUCAGAUUAGCUAGUUGGUGGGGUAAAGGCCCACCAAGGCGACGAUCUGUAGCUGGUCUGAGAGGACGACCAGCCACACUGGAACUGAGACACGGUCCAGACUCCUACGGGAGGCAGCAGUGGGGAAUUUUGGACAAUGGGGGCAACCCUGAUCCAGCCAUGCCGCGUGUGUGAAGAAGGCCUUCGGGUUGUAAAGCACUUUCGGCCGGAACGAAAUCGCGCGGGUGAAUAUCCCGCGUGGAUGACGGUACCGGAAGAAGAAGCACCGGCUAACUACGUGCCAGCCGCCGCGGUAAAAC
rnacentral:rRNA from 1 species